GACGUAGGGCGCGAGCGUUGUCCGGAUUUAUUGGGCGUAAAGAGCUCGUAGGCGGCUUGUUGCGUCGGCUGUGAAACCCGAGGCUCAACCUCGAACUUGCGGUGGGUACGGGCAGACUAGAGUGGUGGUAGGGGAGACUGGAAUUCCUGGUGUAGCGGUGAAAUGCGCAGAUAUCAGGAGGAACACCGAUGGCGAAGGCAGGUCUCUGGGCCACUACUGACGCUGAGAAGCGAAAGCAUGGGGAGCGAACAGG
rnacentral:rRNA from 1 species